rnacentral:rRNA from 1 species
GAUGAACGCUGGCGGCGUGCUUAACACAUGCAAGUCGAACGGAAAGGCCCAAGCUUGCUUGGGUACUCGAGUGGCGAACGGGUGAGUAACACGUGGGUGAUCUGCCCUGCACUUCGGGAUAAGCCUGGGAAACUGGGUCUAAUACCGGAUAGGACGAUGGUUUGGAUGCCAUUGUGGAAAGUUUUUUCGGUGUGGGAUGAGCUCGCGGCCUAUCAGCUUGUUGGUGGGGUAAUGGCCUACCAAGGCGUCGACGGGUAGCCGGCCUGAGAGGGUGUACGGCCACAUUGGGACUGAGAUACGGCCCAGACUCCUACGGGAGGCAGCAGUGGGGAAUAUUGCACAAGGGGCGCAAGCCUGAUGCAGCGACGCCGCGUGGGGGAUGACGGCCUUCGGGUUGGAAACUCCUUUCGCUAGGGACGAAGCGUUUUGUGACGGUACCUGGUGAAGAAGCACCGGCUAACUACGUG